rnacentral:lncRNA from 1 species
UUGUGUUACUGCAUUGCAAUCUGGUCUUUUGUCUCUUCUUAGUUGACACUGUUAAAUUUAAUUUGCAUAAAGUUUUUGUUUUGACAGAUGGUGUCAGAAGUGGGAUUCAAAGUAGAACUUCCAACAACUUCCAGGCACAUGGAGUUAUCAAAAGAGGUACAUACCAAGCCCAUUAUGUCCAUUGCUCUCUUACAGCAACUAGAGAUUGUAGUUCUUUACUAGCAAUUAUAAUCUUGAAGAGUUGAGUCUUCCAAAAGGUUCAUGGAAAGUUUGGGAAGGACCAUGACAAGUACUAUUGAAUACAGAUUUCUGAUAACUUUAGGUUCAUCUCAUUUGGACUUGUAUAUUUUCAACAGGUGAAGGAAUCUUUUCAUGCUCCACCUACUAAGGACAAUUGAACCCUUCAUAAUCUAGAACCUGGAUGCUGGAUCUUCUGGAAAUGGCAUCAGAGAAAGAUUGCCCUUGCCACCCAUAUGGCAAUGAGACUUUGGAACUUCAAAACUUGGGUUCAUAAUCUUACAAAACAGAAGGACCUUUUAGACUCUUGGAACUGUACACUCCUUCAAGACCUUAAGGUAAAGCUAAAUAGGGAAGUUUCUCUUCAAAAGCAGAUGGCAUCCUAGACAUACACAGCUUUCCCAAGAUCACAGAUCAAGACUCCUCUGCCAUCAUGAAACUCUUAGCUCUCUUAAUCUUUUACUUGCUUAUGCCUCUAUGAACAAUAGAACUUGAAAACGGGCCUUGUGUCCACCCACAGGGUGUACUUUCUUAUAGAGGAUUUUUCAGCCAGUCUUAUACAUGGGUAAUCUUAAGCCUUGAUGAAUGGAAGAUGAAGUGUCAAUGUAGGUGGGAAAUUUUAAUAGUAACUUUAUUACUCCAUAAUCAGUCAGACACCAUAAUCAAUCAGAAACAGAAAGUUGGCCCACACCUGUUAAACUACAUCAUAGGUUAAAAAGAACAUUUCCAGAUGGCUUCACUCUUCUGGAUGUGUAUCAUUUGUUAGGUCCUUUUUUCCAUUGCUUGGAGUAACUACAAAUAAGGCAAUAAUUAGAAAUUUAUCCCUCCUAAGAGGCUCCAUAGCAGGUUCUACUACAAAGAUUAUGGUUGUACAACAGACUUGUUAAAAUUAUUUUGCUGAAGUUGAGUUAUAAUAGAAUUGCUCUAGAUUACCUACUCGCUGAACAGGGAGGAAUAUGUGCAGUUGCUGACACUUACUCCAUAUGGUUGAAUAUAUCAGAUAUUAUAGAGACUCAGUUGCAGAGGAUUAACCAAUAGGCUCUCUGGUUAAAAUGUGUAGACUCUUCAUUCAGCUCAUUCUUUGAAUCAUUUUAUUUUGAUUGGUUCGAUUUAUAGAGACCCUGGGUAGGGAAUAUACUUCAAACUAUUGUUGUUAUUCUCCUACUAAUCACAGUAAUAGUCUCCCUGGUGUUUUAUAUUCUCUCAAAAGUUUUAAAUGUUUGUAUGCAGCCAUCUGUAGAAUACCAAAUGAUCUCUUUGACUGGAAUAACCCAAACUUAAAUGCAUGAUUAUGUGGACACCAUAACCUAUGAAUGACAUGUUGAGACUGGAAUCCCAAAAUUAUGGUAACUGAGAGUAGUACUGAAGCUCUAGAUUUUUGUCAUACUCUCACAUAGGUAAAAACUUGACCUAAAGAGGGGAUUAUUAAACAAAAUUAUGAGAGGCCGUUGUUUGGGAUUGAGCUCCUUCACUAGACCCCAAAAAAUAAAGCAAACUG